UACGAAGGGUGCAAGCGUUACUCGGAAUCACUGGGCGUAAAGCGUGCGUAGGCGGUUCGUUAAGUCUGCUGUGAAAGCCCUGGGCUCAACCUGGGAACUGCAGUGAUACUGGCGGACUAGAGUGUGAUAGAGGAUGGUGGAAUUCCGGGUGUAGCGGUGGAAUGCGUAGAGAUCCGGAAGAACACCGGAGGCGAAGGCGGCUGCUGGGGCUUGUCUGACG
rnacentral:rRNA from 1 species